rnacentral:rRNA from 1 species
AGUGAACGCUGGCGGUAGGCCUAACACAUGCAAGUCGAACGGCAGCACAGUAAGAGCUUGCUCUUACGGGUGGCGAGUGGCGGACGGGUGAGGAAUACAUCGGAAUCUACUUUUUCGUGGGGGAUAACGUAGGGAAACUUACGCUAAUACCGCAUACGACCUACGGGUGAAAGCAGGGGAUCUUCGGACCUUGCGCGAUUGAAUGAGCCGAUGUCGGAUUAGCUAGUUGGCGGGGUAAAGGCCCACCAAGGCGACGAUCCGUAGCUGGUCUGAGAGGAUGAUCAGCAACAUGGGAACAGAGAAACGGUCAAGCCUCCUAGGGGAGGCAGAAGGGGGAAAUUUUGAAAAAGGGGAGCAAGCCUGACCAAGCAAUCCGGGGGGGGGGAAAAGGGCUUUGGGGUUUAAAACCCUUUUUGUGGGAAAAAAAAAGAAAGAGGUAAAACCCCCGCUGUUCGGAGGGAACAAAAAAAAAAACACCGGCCAACUUUGGUG